rnacentral:ncRNA from 1 species
AGAAUCAACGAGUAAAUAAGACCCCGUUGAGCUUAACUCUAGUUCAUUAUUUUACUUAUUCCAUGAAUAAGAGGUGGGACAUUGCUCUUCUUUUUGGAACCAAGGCUCACUCGCGGACCGAUCUAAGCGGAAGACAUUGCUAGGUAGGGAGUUUAGUUGGGGCGGCACAUUUGUUAUAAGAUAAUAUAAAUGUCCUAAGAUGAGCUCAACGAGAAUAAAAAUAUCAUGUGGACCAAAAGGGUAAAUGCUCAUUUGAUUCUAAUUUCCAAUAUGAAUACAAAUCCUAAAAGCGUGGCCUAAUGAUCAUGUAGACUUUUAGAAUUCGAAGCUAGAGGUGCCAGAAAAGUUACCACAUUGAUAACUAGCUUGUGGUAACCAAGUGUUCAUAGUGACAUUUUUUUUUAUCCUUCGAUGUGGGCUCUUCCUAUCAUUGUGAAACAUAAUUCACCAAGUGUUGGAUUUUUCACCCACCAAUAGAAAACGUGAGUUGGUUUUAGACCGUAGUAAGACAUGUUAGUUUUGCCCUACUGGUGAUGGUGUCACAAUAGUAAUUCAAUAUAUUAUCAGAGGAACCAUUGAUUUACACAAUUGGUCAUCAUGUUUGGUUGAAAAGCAAGUGGCACGAAGCUAGUGUACAUUCCAACUUAAUAUUGAAUACUUUAUUUGG